CAAAAUUCCAAUCAAAUUAAAAGGAGCAGCCCACUUACAAUUUUGUUUGGGUCCAUUUUAAUUUCCCUCACCAUUCUUGCCCCAAUCCUCAACUAAAUUAAAUCCUCCCUGGCCCAAAUCUCAAUUAAACAACUAGCCCAAUUAAAUCAACAAUAUGAGCAACCCACUUAUACUCACUUCAUCGGUCCUCCUCCCCCAAAAUCACUGAAAUCCCCAACUCCUUCUCUCUCCUUUCUCCGGCGAAUUCAGCGUCGCCUCUUCGAAUCGCCGGCGCUCCAUCGCCGGAGUCGCAGUGCCUCCUCGCCGUCUCCUUUCCCCCACAAAUCGAUUUCCAACUUAGAACAUGCAGCAGCGGUUUUUUUUCUACUCUCUCCAUCGGCAAAAUCGCCGUCUCUCCGGCGAAUCGGGGCUUCUCUGCGUCGCCGGAGCGUCGCCGGCUCCGCCUCUUCUCCCAAUUUUGCACAUUUACCCCAAUUUAGUCCAAAUCUCAAAAAUCCCUAAAUUGAGAAUGAGGAGCUGAGCCUCCAUCCCCUUCCUCACGACCUCUCCGGCGUCGCUGCCUCGAUGGGAAUUUCGGAGUUCCGUCAGCGCUGGCUCCCACGCCGUCCUUCACUUCGCUACGGGAGCGGCAGCUCCUCUCGCCGCCGUCCCUUGUCGUCCGCCUCCUCCGUGAGGCAGCCACGACACUUACCGGAGGCUCACGCCCCCGCUUCCUCUGCCCUCCGGCGAGCGCUCUUCCUUCCCGGCGAAUCAGUGGUGGAGAGGAGGCAUCGCCUCCGUCGCGACGGCUCCACCUCGCCGUUCGCCGCUGCUCUGCGCCGAGCUCUCCGCCGAGUUUUUCUCUCGCCGUCGAGCUCUUUCUCCAUCAAGCUCUCCGGAAGGCAGCGAUCUUUACUCGGCGGCGCCGACGCCAGCCGCCGCUGCCUCGCGCAGCUGCUCCAGCAGCACCACCACUACAGCCAGUUCUCCGGAGCUCCGUUGUCAUUCGAUCGCACUAAGCUAAGCUUUCUAACUCCCAUUAUCUAGUUCAUUAUGUUGAGUUCAUUUCUGGCAAUAGCUUGUGGUAAAGAAGUUCUUGACUAUGGGGUGCUAAAGCUUUGAUCCUCCUUAGGCAGUAGCUUAUGAUAUUUCUUGUACUAAAUUGUGUGAUGUGGAAAUCCUAAAGCUCUAAGUUCUUGAGCAUGAGGUUCUAAUAUGAUGCAGAGGGGAGUAUUUUGAUUACCUUGCUUGUGGAUUCCUCUUGUUUGUUGAGAUACUUCUAGGCUCACUGCCACUCCCCUCACUCUCCUUGCUCCUUCGAAAUUCUUGGUGUUUAAAGGUGGUGAGAAGGAUUUGUGUAACUAAGGAAACGAUUCUGUGCACCUAUAUAUAUACUAAAUUUCUGGAGUUGGUUGGGAUUUGGUCAAGGGGUGUGUGCAGAGAGUAAAUCUGCUUUAUUGGCUUCUUGCUAAGUUUGUUGGGAGCAGAUUUUGUGCAGGACACACUGAAGCUGUCGGAAAAGCAUGGCUGUCUCAUCUCUACUUUGCAGGUUGGGAGGGGACUUGGGCUGCUAAGCUGCUGUCCGAGACGGGCUUGAUGCCUCGGGCCCAACGGGCUGAUCGGAUAGGGCCAACUUAUUGGGCUUAAAAAGGGCGUGAUGCGGUUCACAAGAUUAGGCCCAUUGUUCAUAGUCUUGUGAUUAUAGUCAUGAUCUUUCUUUCUCAAACUCAUAAAUUCAUGCACUAAAUUUUGUAUAAUCUGAAACAUGUCCUUGAUCCAUUAUUUAUCUUGGGCUUAACUUCUCUUGUAUUAAACGAAAUUUGAAAAUACUCUUGAUCAA